GGGGGAUGGCAGGGCUGUCAGCCCCUUACUGAAUGGAACACUCAAAGAGUCUAAAGCGCCACCAGCUACAAGUCAGCUAAGUGCCAACUUGAACUGGAUUCCAGCCCUGCCCCUUCCUCGCUGUGUGACAAUGCACCCACUGCAAACCCUCAGGGCCCUUCAGGUUUCUCAGCUGUGGAAUGGGUUAGGUGAGUCUCCAGCAAGCUGUGGUCACUGGGAAGUGGUGCAGCAAGAGGUGCAGGUCAGAUAUGUGGUCCUGGGAGAACAGGACAUGCAGAAUUACAUUUUGAAAAGUCCCCAGGAGCUAAACAAAAGCCGUAGGCACCUCCCCAGAGGCCCUGCCUUCCACAAGGCCCAUGUGACCCCCAGAAAAGCCCUGACUGCCUUUUUAGAGUUCUGGGAGUUUACGAGGUACUCUCUCAGCUCCAGGAAGGUAUGAGGGCUGGAUAAAUGGUGGGCGUCUAGGCGGAAGAGGAACUACAAAAGAAGCCAAUGUCCCCUGUCCAUCCAACGGUUCCCCCAGAUUUGUGAGGACUUGGGCGUGCCCUUGGCCAUCGCCCAGAGCGGCCAGCCUGCACUGGACCUGGGGACAAUGCUGUAAUCAGGGUCUGGGAAGUUUCUGUGUGAGUCAGGGAAAGAAGCACACACUGCAGGGCCGAGGAGGAGACGCACCUCCAGACCCAGCCUCCCAGUCCACCCUCCUUGGUCCGCUAGAAGAACAGCAAGGUGAGGAAGGAAGCCUUUCUCUGUCGACGCCCCCGCUGCCGGGACGGGCUCCAAGCGCCGACGAGCUGGCACCGGAGCGAAGGAGAAGGACCCUGACGCCCGAGCUUCUCAGAUGCCCGCGGUCCCCACACG